rnacentral:tRNA from 1 species
GCCUUCGUGGAGUAGUGGUCAACACGCUGGGCACGUAUUCCAGAGGCCAGUGGUUCAAAUCCCGGCGAGGAUA